rnacentral:rRNA from 1 species
GUGAGGAAUAUUGCGCAAUGGAGGCAACUCUGACGCAGCCAUGCCGCGUGCAGGAAGAAGGCGCUACGCGUUGUAAACUGCUUUUAACCGGGAAGAAACCCCAGGACGUGUCCUGGGUUGACGGUACCGGAGGAAUAAGCACCGGCUAACUUCGUGCCAGCAGCCGCGGUAAUACGAAGGGUGCAAGCGUUAUCCGGAUUCAUUGGGUUUAAAGGGUGCGUAGACGGAGCGUUAAGUCAGUGGUGAAAUCCUGCAGCUUAACUGUAGACUUGCCAUUGAUACUGGCGGUCUUGAGUGAGCUUGAAGUGGGCGGAAUGUGCCGUGUAGCGGUGAAAUGCUUAGAUAUGGCACAGAACACCAAUUGAGAAGGCAGCUCACUAAGGCGAUACUGACGCUGAGGCACGAAAGCGUGGGGAUCGAACAGGAUUAGAAACCCGUGUAGUCC